UACGAAGGGGGCUAGCGUUGCUCGGAAUCACUGGGCGUAAAGCGCACGUAGGCGGAUCUUUAAGUCAGGGGUGAAAUCCUGGAGCUCAACUCCAGAACUGCCUUUGAUACUGGGGAUCUCGAGUCCGGAAGAGGUGAGUGGAACUCCGAGUGUAGAGGUGAAAUUCGUAGAUAUUCGCAAGAACACCAGUGGCGAAGGCGGACUCACUGGCCCGGUACUGACGCUGAGGUGCGAAAGCGUGGGGAGCAAACGGG
rnacentral:rRNA from 1 species